GCAAACAAAAAUAUAUCCACCAACUGUCUCAUUUCUUGGCAAAGAUUCUGCUGGAGGCAAAGUCUUAAACCUUUUAUCAACACCAUUCUGUUUCUCACUAUUAACAUCCUUGUUACUCUCUUUAACACUCUUGUUGUUCUUCUUCACACUUUUCUGCUCAUCUUCAAAAAAACCUUUACCAAAUUUCUUGUUUAUCCCCUUUGUACCUACUGCAACAUUAUUAGUACCCUUAUUAUAACUGAAGUUCAAAGCUUGAUUUGAGUAAACCCCUUUGUUGAAUCCGCCAUUUAAACCAACCCCAAGUACCCCAUUUCCGGCAGCAGCACCGCCGUUCGCCGCCGUGAGAGCAGAUGGGUCAGCAAUUUUCCAGCCAUCAUUGCUAAAAAGAUUGUAAUUUGACUUGUUUGAAGAAGUAUUAGCAAUAGAGUUGAGGUCACCACCUACCCUGAUAUCAAAAUUUCUUCUUUCUUCAGGCCUUUUAGAACCAUAGUUACUGCUCCAAAUUGAAUCAUUCAAAGAGAGAUUUGCUAAGUUGUUGUUCUGCAGACGAAGCUGGUCACUGAACUGCCAGAAAGAUGAUUGAUUGUUGUUGUUGUUGAUCUCCAUGAGCUUUUUUCUGCGGUUUUCUCGGGUACCCAAGUGAGAAAAUUGUGUAAAGAUUCAAGCUUUACUGUAAAAGAACGGAUUUUAUGCUUUUUUUUUUUGCACUUUUCUUGAAUACCCAAGUGAGAGAUUGUGUAAGAUUGAAACUUUAUUGUGAAAGAAUGGAUUUUUCUACUUUUUUUGCACUUUUCUUGAAUACCCAAGUGAGAGAUUGUGUAAGAUUGAAACUUUAUUGUGAAAGAAUGGAUUUUUCUACUUUUUUUGCACUUUUCUUGAAUACCCAAGUGAGAGAUUGUGUAAGAUUGAAACUUUAUUGUGAAAGAAUGGAUUUUUCUAC
rnacentral:misc_RNA from 1 species